CCUACGGGAGGCAGCAGUGGGGAAUAUUGCACAAUGGGGGAAACCCUGAAGCAGCGACGUCGCGUGAGUGAUGACGUACCUCGGUGUUUAAAGCUCUAUCAGCAGGGAGGAAAAUGACGGUACGUGACUAAUAAGCCACGGCUAACUACGUGCCAGCAGCCGCGGUAAUACGUAGGGGGCCAGCGUUAUCCGGAUUUACUGGGUGUUAAGGGAGCGUAGACGGCAAGACAAGUCAGCAGUGAAAGCCCAGGGCUCAACCCUGGGACUGCUUUUGAAACUGCCGGGCUGGAGUGCAGGAGAGGUAUGCGGAAUUCGUGGUGUAGCGGUGAAAUGCGUAGAUAUUAGGAGGAACACCAGUGGCGAAGGCGGCUUACUGGACUGUAACUGACGUUGAGGCUCGAAAGCGUGGGGAGCAAACAGGAUUAGAUACCCCAGUAGUC
rnacentral:rRNA from 1 species